CGAGUUCGUGAGGCGAUCGCGGCCGGGCACGACCCGGUCGAGGAAAGUCCGGACUCCACAGGGCAGGAUGCUGGGUAACACCCAGGCGGGGCGACCCGACGGAAAGUGCCACAGAGAACAGACCGCCGAUGGCCUUCGGGCACAGGCAAGGGUGAAACGGUGGUGUAAGAGACCACCAGCAUCCCGGGUGACCGGGAUGGCUCGGCAAACCCCAUCCGGAGCAAGGCCAAGCAGGGACGUCGGUGGCCCGCCGGUCAAGUCCCGGGUAGGCCGCACGAGGCCGACGGCAACGUCGGUCCCAGAUAGAUGAUCGCCCACGACAGAAUCCGGCUUAUCCACGGACUCGCAUC
rnacentral:RNase_P_RNA from 1 species